AACGAACGCUGGCGGCAGGCUUAACACAUGCAAGUCGAGCGCCCCGCAAGGGGAGCGGCAGACGGGUGAGUAACGCGUGGGAAUCUACCCAUCUCUACGGAAUAACUCAGGGAAACUUGUGCUAAUACCGUAUACGCCCUUCGGGGGAAAGAUUUAUCGGAGAUGGAUGAGCCCGCGUUGGAUUAGCUAGUUGGUGGGGUAAUGGCCUACCAAGGCGACGAUCCAUAGCUGGUCUGAGAGGAUGAUCAGCCACACUGGGACUGAGACACGGCCCAGACUCCUACGGGAGGCAGCAGUGGGGAAUAUUGGACAAUGGGCGCAAGCCUGAUCCAGCCAUGCCGCGUGAGUGAUGAAGGCCCUAGGGUUGUAAAGCUCUUUCACCGGUGAAGAUAAUGACGGUAACCGGAGAAGAAGCCCCGGCUAACUUCGUGCCAGCAGCCGCGGUAAUACGAAGGGGGCUAGCGUUGUUCGGAAUUACUGGGCGUAAAGCGCACGUAGGCGGAUUGUUAAGUUAGGGGUGAAAUCCCAGGGCUCAACCCUGGAACUGCCUCUAAUACUGGCAAUCUCGAGUCCGAGAGAGGUGAGUGGAAUUCCGAGUGUAGAGGUGAAAUUCGUAGAUAUUCGGAGGAACACCAGUGGCGAAGGCGGCUCACUGGCUCGGUACUGACGCUGAGGCUCGAAAGCGUGGGGAGCGAACAGG
rnacentral:rRNA from 1 species